ensembl:lncRNA
AGAAACAAAAAAUUAGUUUGUAUAAAAAGAUUGUGUGUAUCUUUAAGAAACAUACUAAAUUUUUUUUUCUGUAUGAAUAAUGAUAGUCUUAUAAAUAUUUUUAUUAAUUUACUCUAUAAGAGAAUCAAUAAUUGCCUAUCGACUUACACUACUCAUGUAGAAGGCCUUAAGUUCUUCAUUAAAAAGCUUACGAAUAAAAAUAAAGGAUAUAACAAAAUAAUGAAAUUUGAAAAACUAUUUGUAAAAAAUAUACAAUAUAACCAUACAUUAUUUAAUCUUUUAAAUACUAAAAUGGGAUUAGUUAAUUAUUUAAUUUUUUUAUUAAAAAAAAAAGAAAAUUUUUCUUUUAAACAAAAAAGUGAAGAACAAAGAAAAACAUACCUAAAAAACGUAUACAUGGACAAUUCGAAGAAAUGUACCUUAAAAAAUGAAGAACUUAAUAAAAAAAUAAAAUACAUUUUAAUAAAUGUGGACAAAUUGUUAUCAUUACAUAUGACAAAUAGAAACAAAAAUAUAGCUAUCAAAAAAAAAAUAUAUGUCAAUUGGAAUAGUAAAAGUAAAAAAGUAAGAGAUAAGUUUGUGUUUUUGGCAAAUGACAAGAGUAAAAAUGAAAGGACAUGUUACAGAUUAAGUGGAAAAUCGAGUGAAAAAUCGAGUAACAACACAAAUUUAAUUAACAACUGUAUUAAUGAAAAAAAAAAAACUUACAACGCUGUUAUAGAAGAAAGAAUAAAAACAGGUACAUGCAAUGUUCAAAAUUUAUCUGCAAACAUUAAAAAAAAAAAACACAGUAAUAAUAAUAGUAAUGGUAAUAAAAUAAAACUAUGUGGUAAUAAAUUUGGUUUUUCCAAAAAACGUAUAAAAAAUUUAAUGUGUGUAGAUCAUCCCAGUUUAAGUAAUAUUCACUGCUCUACUUGCUUAUUUAUUAAUUUAAUUAACAAAGCGUAUAAUCAAAUUAAAUACAACCACAGUAAAACAAAAGUUUGUAAUAGGAAGACUAAAUUAAUAUGUAAUAAAAUAAAACAAGAACGGUUUUGUUUAGUUUCCAAAUUACGUAUAUCUUCAAAUAAUACUAAUAACACUGAUGAACACAAUGGUAUAUAUACAGGACACCUAAACAAACGAAAAUGUGACAAACAUAAAUUAAAUAAUUUUUUAAAAAAGAAAAAAAAAAUACUGUACACAACGGGAAAAUAUAGUAACAAAAGUUAUGAAUUUUGUGAUAACGAAAAAAGUGAAAACACAGUUUUCAAAAAAGAAUUAAAAAAAAAGAACAUAAGUAAAAAAGUUCGCAUAACAUGGAACAAUAGUCAUGAUAAUAAGAAUAUAAUAAAUAAUCAAAGUUCUGCAAAAAAUGAUAGUUCUCGUGGGGAGGUGAAUGUUGACAAUGACCAUGACUUAUUGAGUGCUUAUUUGAUAAAUGUUUGUAAGAGUGGUAGUGAUGGUAGUAAUAGCAUUAGCGAUAUCAACGGAAAUAGUAGAAACAGAAGCAACAUCAACAGCAACAGUAACAGCAACAGUAACAGUAACAGUAACAGUAACAGUAACAGCAACAGUAACAGCAACAGCAACAGCAACAGCAACAGUAACAGCAACAGUAACAGCAACAUCAACAGUAACAGUAACAGCAACAUCAACAGCAACAGUAACAGCAACAUCAACAGUAACAUCAACAGUAACAUCAACAGCAACAGCAAUAACAGUAAUAACAACAACAACAACAUUAAUAACAACAGUAAUAACAACAACAACAACAGAAGCAACCAUGGUAAUAACAACAAUAGCCGCAGUAGCUAUAGUAGCACCUCGUUUGAAUUCAGUAGGAACUCAUACGAAAAUAUUCAGGACAUGAGUAACAGCGUUUUAAACAUUUAUAUGGAUGAAUAUAGAAACAGCUUAGAAAAUGAUGCAUUAAUUGAUCACAUAUAUGACUUACAGCCAAUACACUUAGCAACAAAAGAAGGAAACAUUGAAUUAAUUAAUAAAUUUUUAAAAGCAGGUAUAUACAUAAAUAGUAAAACACGAGUAAGAAAAUUU